rnacentral:rRNA from 1 species
UACGUAGGGCGCAAGCGUUAUCCGGAAUUAUUGGGCGUAAAGAGCUCGUAGGCGGUUUGUCGCGGCUGCCGGGAAAGUCCGGGGCUCAACUCCGGAUCUGCGGUGGGUACGGGCAGACUAGAGUGAUGUAGGGGAGACUGGAAUUCCUGGUGUAGCGGUGAAAUGCGCAGAUAUCAGGAGGAACACCGAUGGCGAAGGCAGGUCUCUGGGCAUUAACUGACGCUGAGGAGCGAAAGCAUGGGGAGCGAACAGG